rnacentral:rRNA from 1 species
AACGAACGCUGGCGGCAUGCCUAACACAUGCAAGUCGAACGAGAUCUUCGGGUCUAGUGGCGCACGGGUGCGUAACGCGUGGGAAUCUGCCCUUUGGUUCGGAAUAACAGUUGGAAACGACUGCUAAUACCGGAUGAUGACGAAAGUCCAAAGAUUUAUCGCCAGAGGAUGAGCCCGCGUAGGAUUAGCUAGUUGGUGUGGUAAAGGCGCACCAAGGCGACGAUCCUUAGCUGGUCUGAGAGGAUGAUCAGCCACACUGGGACUGAGACACGGCCCAGACUCCUACGGGAGGCAGCAGUGGGGAAUAUUGGACAAUGGGCGAAAGCUUGAUCCAGCAAUGCCGCGUGAGUGAUGAAGGCCUUAGGGUUGUAAAGCUCUUUUACCCGGGAUGAUAAUGACAGUACCGGGAGAAUAAGCUCCGGCUAACUCCGUGCCAGCAGCCGCCGCCGUAA